CGGAGGGAUCAUUAAAGAGUUCUAUAACUCCCAAACCCAUGUGAACAUACCUAACGUUGCCUCGGCAGGUCGCACCUACCUUGUAGCACCCUACCCUGUAGGGCCUACCCGGGAGGUGCGGGUAAGCCUGCCGGCGGCCCACCAAACUCUGUUUGAUAUUGAAUUCUGAAUCUAUAACUAAAUAAGUUAAAACUUUCAACAACGGAUCUCUUGGUUCUGGCAUCGAUGAAGAACGCAGCGAAAUGCGAUAAGUAAUGUGAAUUGCAGAAUUCAGUGAAUCAUCGAAUCUUUGAACGCAUAUUGCGCCCAUUAGUAUUCUAGUGGGCAGGACCGUUCGAGCGUCAUUUCAACCCUUAAGCCUUCGUUGCUUAGUGUUGGGAGCCUACGGCAACGUAGCUCCUCAAAGUUAGUGGCGGAGUUGGUUCACACUCUAGACGUAGUAAUUUUUUAUCUCGCCUAUUAGUUGGACUAAUCCCCUGCCGUAAAACCCCCAAUUUAUAUCAAGGUUGACCUCGAAUCGGUUCAGACAAACUCGCUAAAUUGAAGCAUCUUAGUCAGCGAAGGAAAAGAAACCAACAGGGAUUGCCCUAGUAACGGCGAGUGAAGCGGCAACAGCUCAAAUUUGAAAUCUGGCCCUCGGGUCCG
rnacentral:rRNA from 1 species